UCGAGGAUCUUCGGCAAUGGGCGCAAGCCUGACCGAGCGACGCCGCGUGCGCGAUGAAGGCCUUCGGGUUGUAAAGCGCUGUCGAGGGGAAGGAAAACCCGCAAGGGUCUGACCGACCCCUGGAGGAAGCACGGGCUAAGUUCGUGCCAGCAGCCGCGGUAAGACGAACCGUGCAAACGUUGUUCGGAAUCACUGGGCUUAAAGGGCGCGUAGGCGGCGAAUCAAGUCCGGGGUGAAAUCUUUCGGCUCAACCGGAAAAGGGCCUUGGAGACUGGUUCGCUCGAGGGAGGUAGGGGCAUGUGGAACUUCCGGUGGAGCGGUGAAAUGCGUUGAUAUCGGAAGGAACGCCGGUGGCGAAAGCGACGUGCUGGACCUCUACUGACGCUGAGGCGCGAAAGCCAGGGGAGCAAACGGGAUUAGAUACCCCCGUAGUCC
rnacentral:rRNA from 1 species